rnacentral:rRNA from 1 species
UUCAAUGACCAUACCAAGUUGAAAAGACUGGUUCCCGUCGGAUCAACGAAGUUCAACAACGUUGGUUUCGGUUACUGUUUGCAUGUGUGACCGACUGGGAAUACCGUAUUUUAUAAGCG